UACGUAGCUGGCAAGCGUUGUCCGGAAUCAUUGGGCGUAAAGAGCGUGUAGGCGGCUCGGUAAGUCCGCUGUGAAAGUCCAGGGCUCAACCCUGGAAUGCCGGUGGAAACUGUCGGGCUAGAGUCCGGAAGAGGCGAGUGGAAUUCCUGGUGUAGCGGUGAAAUGCGCAGAUAUCAGGAGGAACACCAAUGGCGAAGGCAGCUCGCUGGGACGGUACUGACGCUGAGACGCGAAAGCGUGGGGAGCAAACAGG
rnacentral:rRNA from 1 species